AUAAAGUCUAACCUGCCCACUGAAUAUUGUUUAAAGGGCCGCAGUAUUUUGACUGUGCAAAGGUAGCAUAAUCAUUAGUCUUUUAAUUGAAGGCUGGUAUGAAUGGUUGGAUGAGAUACAAGCUGUGUCAUAAAAAUUAAAAUUUGAAUUUACCUUUUUAGUCAAAAGGCUAAAAUAUUCUUAAAAGACGAGAAGACCCCAUAGAGCUUUAUAUAACUAAUAUUUAAACUAUUUAGAUUUAUUAAGUUAAAUUAUUAUUUUGUAUUUUGUUGGGGUGACAAUAAAAUUAAUAAAACUUUUAUUUUUAUUAAACAUUAAUUUAUGAAUAAAUGAUCCAGUUUUAUUGAUUAUAAAAUUAAGUUACCUUGGGGAUAACAGCGUAAUUUUUUUUGAGAGUUCUUAUCGACAAAAAAGAUUGCGACCUCGAUGUUGGAUUAAGAGUAAUUUUGGGUGUAGAAGUUCAAAGUUUAAGUC
rnacentral:rRNA from 1 species